AUUGAACGCUGGCGGCAGGCCUAACACAUGCAAGUCGCACGAGUGGCGGACGGGUGAGUAAUGUCUGGGAAACUGCCUGAUGGAGGGGGAUAACUACUGGAAACGGUAGCUAAUACCGCAUACCAUCAGAUGUGCCCAGAUGGGAUUAGCUAGUAGGUUGGGUAAAGGCUCACCUAGGCGACGAUCCCUAGCUGGUCGGAGAGGAUGACCAGCCACCCUGGGACUGAGACACGGUCCAGACUCCUCAGUGAGGCAGCAGUGGGGAAGAUGGGACAAUGGGCGCAAGCCUGAUGCAGCCAUGCCGCGUGUGUGAAGAAGGCCUUCGGGUCGUAAAGUACUUUCAGCGGUGAGGCGUUACCCGCAGAAGAAGCACCGGCUAACUCCGUGCCAGCAGCCGCGGUAAUAC
rnacentral:rRNA from 1 species